CUCUCAGACAGACAGGUAGAGAGACUGUGCUCCGAGAGGUGGAAGGUGAGACAGGCACUCAGACAGACAGGUAGAGAGACUGUGCUCCGAGAGGUGGAAGGUGAGACAGGCUCUCAGACAGACAGGUAGAGAGACUGUGCUCCGAGAGGUGGAAGGUGAGACAGGCACUCAGACAGACAGGUAGAGAGACUGUGCUCCGAGAGGUGGAAGGUGAGACAGGCACUCAGACAGACAGGU